rnacentral:rRNA from 1 species
UACGUAGGGGGCAAGCGUUAUCCGGAUUUACUGGGUGUAAAGGGAGCGUAGACGGCAUGGCAAGCCAGAUGUGAAAGCCCGGGGCUCAACCCCAGGACUGCAUUUGGAACUGUCAGGCUAGAGUGUCGGAGAGGAAAGCGGAAUUCCUAGUGUAGCGGUGAAAUGCGUAGAUAUUAGGAGGAACACCAGUGGCGAAGGCGGCUUUCUGGACGAUGACUGACGUUGAGGCUCGAAAGCGUGGGGAGCAAACAGG